AGACGUGGCCGACGCGGGGCAAAUCGUAGCAUCUGUUGUUAUCAGCUCAAUAUGUGAUACGGGUUCUACUUGGACCCAAGAUAUUGAACUCAUUUUUGCAAGUUGGCGGAGUGCUCGACGCCUGCUUCACUUCCGCAGCGAGUCUGCCCGGUAUUGCACCAUCUUCGAGAUCGGCCCACGGUUA